UGCCAGCCGCCGCGGUAAUACGGAGGGUGCGAGCGUUAAUCGGAAUUACUGGGCGUAAAGCGCAUGCAGGUGGUUCAUUAAGUCAAAUGUGAAAGCCAAGGGCUCAACCCUUGAACUGCAUUCGAUACUCCCGUGCUAGAGUAAUGGAGAGGUAAGUGGAAUUCUCGGCGUAGCAGUGAAAUGCGUAGAUAUCGAGAGGAACAUCAAUGGCGAAGGCAACUUACUGGACAUUUACUGACGCUCAGACACGAAGGCUAGGGGAGCGAAAGGGAUUAGAUA
rnacentral:rRNA from 1 species